rnacentral:rRNA from 1 species
CUACGGGACGCACCAGUGGGGAAUAUUGGACAAUGGGGGAAACCCUGAUCCAGCAAUGCCGCGUGUGUGAAGAAGGCCUGCGGGUUGUAAAGCACUUUCGGUUGGGAGGUCUGCUUCUAGCACUAAUAUUGUUGGAAGUUGACGUUACCUUCAGAAGAAGCACCGGCUAACUCCGUGCCAGCAGCCAGCGAUAAUACGGAGGGUGCAAGCGUUAAUCGGAAUUACUGGGCGUAAAGCGCGCGUAGGCGGCUAGAUCAGUCGGGUGUGAAAGCCCCGGGCUUAACCUGGGAACUGCAUCCGAUACUGUCUAGCUUGAGUACAGGAGAGGAGAGUGGAAUUCCACAUGUAGCGGUGAAAUGCGUAGAUAUGUGGAGGAACACCAAUGGCGAAGGCAGCUCUCUGGCCUGAUACUGACGCUGAGGUGCGAAAGCGUGGGGAGCAAACAGGAUUAGAUACCCCAGUAGUC